rnacentral:piRNA from 2 species
GCAGAUCUUGGUGGUAGUAGCAAAUAC